GACGAACGCUGGCGGCGUGCUUAACACAUGCAAGUCGAACGGAAAGGCCCUGCUUUUGUGGGGUGCUCGAGUGGCGAACGGGUGAGUAACACGUGAGUAACCUGCCCUUGACUUUGGGAUAACUUGAGGAAACUGGGGCUACUACCGGAUAGGAGCUCCUGCUGCAUGGUGGGGGUUGGAAAGUUUCGGCGGUUGGGGAUGGACUCGCGGCUUAUCAGCUUGUUGGUGGGGUAGUGGCUUACCAAGGCUUUGACGGGUAGCCGGCCUGAGAGGGUGACCGGCCACAUUGGGACUGAGAUACGGCCCAGACUCCUACGGGAGGCAGCAGUGGGGAAUAUUGCACAAUGGGCGGAAGCCUGAUGCAGCAACGCCGCGUGCGGGAUGACGGCCUUCGGGUUGUAAACCGCUUUCGCCUGUGACGAAGCGUGAGUGACGGUAAUGGGUAAAGAAGCACCGGCUAACUACGUG
rnacentral:rRNA from 1 species